GUAUUUUGAUGUGUAGCUACCUGAUUGCUGAUUGGUGGGAAUAUAAUAGCAUUUCCAUUUGUAAUGUUACACAAAAUUACUAUACAAUUGUUAUUCUACAAUUCUGGUUUGGUUAAUGCCAAUUAACUCCUUAUAAUUACUUGCUAAAUUAACUUAAAACCCCAUUGCAUUUGAAGCAAAAUUGAAUUUUGCUGCCCUGAAAUGUGUGUCCAAUACACAGCAAUAUUUGGCAAGAUACAUAUAAGGCCUGGAGUACUGUGGUAGACUUCCAAGUGGCUUCAUAUGAAAGCCAGAGACAAAAUUCUGGUUUCACCACUCCUAAGAGAAUUUAAUUUUUAAGUGGAAAUUUUUAGUGGAACUCAUAGCAUUUACUUGCAGAAUGUUUUCCUGUUCCUUGUUUUCACCACUAGCUGCCAUUUGGUGUAUUUGAAAAUGUUAAGUCAAAAAUGGAAGUGGGAGGGAUGUGGGAGCCAACUGCCUUACUGUUGUGGAUGUGGAUAAAUCAGUUCCUACUGUCAAGUAAAGACUGAAACUACAUGAAAAUAACCAUCUGAUCCAGCUUGUUAAACUGUGUUGUCUCAUGCUGAAAAUCACAGGCAAAUGUUCAAGUUCUAAGGGGUUACACUUGAAUACUUCUUGUGUUUUGUGUUGUUAUAAAUUCUGACUGCAGAGGGAUAAGCGGGGCUGUAAACUUCUCUUCUUGGGCAGAAAAAGCUUUCCUGAAACACUGCCUUACUGGAAAAUACUUGAAAUUAUUUUUCCCAAUCUUCUAAGUAGUGAUGGUAUUUCUAUUAAAAAGCUAUAGAUUAAUCUCUCAAAUUCAGAGAUGUGGUUGUUCAUGUUCUGUUACUACUGUCUCUAAAUCCAUGAUUUUUGUGUCUAUUUUGAACAUUUCUUUAUGUAUAAAAUAACUGCUACCAGCUUACCCUUUCUUUAACUGGAGUGAAAUAAUUUUAUGGAGUAAAAUAAUUUUCCAGAACACCAGAUCAUUUUGCCAAACACGAUUUUUGUUUUUCACUAGUCAAAAAAGCUGCUGCAACUUCUCCCCUUGUAGGAAAGGACUCAGAGCUUUGCAAGAGCUACAGUUUAAUUACAGCCAUGAUGUACCUGUUUCUUUUUGAUACAGAGAUUUAGACUUUGCAGAUUUUCAUGCUGUGUGUUUCAGGGUGGCUCUUGGGAGUGAUCUUGUGAUGCUGUUAAAAUUGGAUUAUUUCCAGUGGCCAAAAUGGAAUUCCCUCUAAGGAGAUUUCCAGAACCAUGGAGAGACUGCACAGAUUCCUCACUGUUUGUAACAUGCAGGAAACUGGAGCCUCUGAUAUUAAUUUGUCAUCAGCUUUGUGAACAGUUGUCAUUGGACACUUGGAAAAUGCAGCAUUUUGCUUUCCCUCAUUGCUCAGAAGAACAGUAUGUUUACAGGAUUCACAACAAUAUCUCGGGAUUUGUUCUUCUUGUAAAGCCAGUAAGAGUGAUGUGGUUAAUCUUCUUCACUGUGCUCCAAAUGUACACCCUGUUCCUCAGACUGCCUAACUACAAACUCUAUCCCACUUGAUGCACACAUGGAAAGUUUUGUCAUGGCAGUGGCUGCUGUUUUGUUGAUGCCUGAGCUAGCGAGAGAGCACAGAGUUCUGCACAUUGGUUUGCCUUGCACAGCCCAGCUCAAAGACAGACAGUUUCCUGGCAAACAUGCAUCCUGCUGCCUGGGUGAAGUGUUUUCCCUGGACAGACCUGCUGUUGGCAAGUUGGCAGAAGGACCCUGAAGGGUGGUUUUCAGGAAGCUUCACCUACAGGAGACUGAAGCAGUUCAGCUUUGAGGAUGGAGGUGGAGAACAUCAAAGAUUGAAGGUGUUUAUGGAAAGUGUGUUUAUGGAGAAAGCUUUUGGAAUGCCAGUGGGAUGAUAAGGUUACUUCUACAGGAGAUUAAAGGUGCCAGUUACACACUGGGGGUAAGAGGUAUUGAAACACAAACAGGCCGUGCAGAAAGACUCUGAUUUCCCAGAGAAAAACCUCUUAUUUUCUAAGAUUAUAACAAGUACAAAGCAGGAUUUUGGAGUGAUGAUAUUCACGAGGUUUUCUUUUUAAUGAAUAAAAUUCAUUCUAGAGAAGACAUAAGUUGUCUGGUUGAUUUUAUUAUUUAAAGCUUUUUGCUCAUUAGAGCAUAGAUUAGAAAUCUUGCAUUUAGGAGAGCUUCAUCCUGUACAGACAUAAUUUGGGAAUCAUAUAAUUUUUUGAGACCAUUUAGCAAUGUUUAU